CAGACCCUGGGCUAGCAGGCCUCAGGGAGAACUCCAAUGGCAUCUGUGUCAGCAUGCCCACACCAGGCCACAACAAUGGCCACCACCAAUGUCCCAGUCCCUGGAGAGGUCUCACCUCUCACUGUGAUGCACUCAGAGCCUAUCAGCUGACCUGUUCAAGCAAAACAGCAACAACAAAAUCCUACUUACAGAAAAAUAAAAAGAAAUACAAGAAGUAAAACAAAUUAUUUUUCCUCAUCAAAUACUUUUCCCCGAAUUGCAUGCAUUUUAUAAAAUGACUAAGUAUUUCUAUUUUUUAAUGCCUACGUUCCUGAGUGAGUUCUGCAACGCUGAGGAGGCCUUUUUGAAAGCAAGUCUCAACCUUUCAAGCGAAUCCACGUCUGAUUUGUGACUGUAUUUGACAAGUGUGGAAGUCCUUAUGGGGACUUUUGAAGAACCAUUCCCUAAACCUCAUGAGAAAGACACAUUUAAAUGAACACUACCAAGAGAGCAUUGGAAGCCAGCCAUUGAUACCCAAGAGGUAGCUUCAUAAGAGGUGGAACUAAGAAAAUAUUACUUUGAAUUCUAGAAAAGAUGCACUCCAAGUACUUGAGAAUGUGGUCUGAGAUAGGGGAUGAAAGGAAACCACAUCUUAUUCACUUCUGCAUCUCAGUGACUAGCACAAAGAAGAUUCUCAGAAAAUGGCUCACAGAAUAAAAAGAACUAUUUCCUCUCCACUUUUCAAGUCUCUUAACAAUUUCGGUAAGACUCAGUUUCCUUGUCAUAUAGACUGAAAACAUUAAUGGUCAUAUUUUGUGCGUCAUUUUAAGAACU